CACACAUGUCCGCAUGUGGGCAAACCUCAACUAUAAUUUUUUCUUUUCUUUUCUCUCCCUUUUCUCUUUGUCGUGUCGUCUUCUCUUUGUUUUCUCCGACGAUGGCGAUCAAUUGUUUGAAGGUCUUGAUUGUGAGGCUAAAGAGAAGAUCGCUAGAGAGUUAGCUAAACUCGUGUUUGGAUCACAAGAGAGCUUUGUCUCCAUCUGUUUGAGCAGUUUCUCAUUGAAAUAUUUGUGGAAUAAAAGGUCGAGAGAUGAGGAGAUCAAUUGGUUUCCGUUUGUGGAAGAUCUGAGCCAGAGUUGGUCGAUACUUGGAAGAGUAGAGCCAUCCACUCUUUCUCUCUCUCCGUAGCGUUCAUCUUCUUCCUCCUCAGUCACAACAGAAGAAAUCGUUUCGUUCUUAUCUCGCCUCCAAGGCUAGGUUUAAUGUUGAAGCAAGAUGUUGGCAAGUAUUCGAUAGGCAAAACAAUUUAUGGAAGUGACAGAGCAAAGCUCAGACCCUCCUUCUACCAGACCAACUGUGGAUUUCGCAAUGGGCGGGGAUAAAGUGACUGAAGAUGGUGUCACCGUUGCUAGAGGCAUUGAGUUGAAGGAUAAAGUGAAGAACGUUGGUGACGGAAACAUGACACAAGACGAGGCACGGACUUGGGUGAGAAGUGUGUUGUGCUGAUGACAGAGGUGAGAAGACGAGGCACAAACUUGGGUGAGAACGACAGAGGUGAGAAGUGUGUUGUGCUGAUGACAGAGGUGAGAAGACGAGUCACGGGUUGUGUAUCUUGUGGUGAAAAGUGGUGAGAAGACGAGUGCUGAUGACAUAGGUGAGAAGUGUGGCUUGGUCUUCUUUUCUAAUCUUUGUUUAUUUUUGUUUUACUAAUCUUUAUUUUAAAAAAAAAAAAAUUUAUGUUUAAAAUG